UACAGAGGGUGCGAGCGUUAAUCGAAAUUACUGGGCGUAAAGGGUGCGUAGGCGGCGCGGUAAGUCGGGUGUGAAAUCUCGGAGCUUAACUCCGAAACUGCAUUCGAUACUGCCGUGCUUGAGGACUGGAGAGGAGACUGGAAUUUACGGUGUAGCGGUGAAAUGCGUAGAUAUCGUAAGGAAGACCAGUGGCGAAGGCGGGUCUCUGGACAGUUCCUGACGCUGAGGCACGAAGGUCAGGGGAGCAAACGGG
rnacentral:rRNA from 1 species